rnacentral:rRNA from 1 species
UACGAAGGGGGCUAGCGUUGCUCGGAAUCACUGGGCGUAAAGGGCGCGUAGGCGGUCUUUUAAGUCGGGGGUGAAAGCCUGUGGCUCAACCACAGAAUUGCCUUCGAUACUGGGAGACUUGAGUUCGGAAGAGGUUGGUGGAACUGCGAGUGUAGAGGUGAAAUUCGUAGAUAUUCGCAAGAACACCGGUGGCGAAGGCGGCCAACUGGUCCGACACUGACGCUGAGGCGCGAAAGCGUGGGGAGCAAACAGGAUUGAGAAACCCUAGGUAGU